GGGGGUUCCCCCCAGUAUAUGUAUGUCACUAGUACCGGAAUAAGAUUCGCUUGGGGGUCACCCAGCGUAAGGGGGGUCACCCCUGUUAAUCACUCCGUUAUGUGUCUCCACUACUGUGUCCUGGGAGGUGUAUCCCUGUGGGGAAGGAGUGUAUCCAGUGGUUGUGAGGUCCAGUGGCAGUAGGGAGCUGAGUAAGUAAUCAGCUCUAUUUAAUUUCCCUGCCAGCAGACAGAGUAAUGCAUCCACUAUGUGCCCACAGCAGGGAACAGUCCAUUCAUAAUCCUCCAGACGUACAAUAAAACUGUUAUUCAACAUGUCAAUUGUAUAGAACAGAAUAGAGCAAACUGCCAGCAGACAUGAGUACUGCAUCCACUACAUGCACACAGCAGGGAUCAGUCCUACAUAUUCAUGCAGAGUUACAUAUAAAACUUUUAUUUCACAUGCCAAUGAAAUAUGACAGUAUAGAGCUCAGCAGUGAACAGUCCAUUCAUAAUCUUCCAGAAAAGGUACAUAUAAAACCUUUAUUCCACAUGCCCAUG